CUUCUUUGGAAUAUCAGGAUUCUACUCUGCCUGCAAACCCAAAGCAGUUAAAUAAAAUUCCAGGCAGUUUUUCUGCUUAAGGGUGUGAUUUCAGGUUGCUCAUUACAGACAGCCUUGCAGUACAAGUUGUUAUCUGGCAUGGAGCAGUGGAAGAAAACAUGAGUUAUCAGAGGAGGAUGAGCCAAGAGAAUGACCUGGUUUUCCAAAGUUGUGCUCAGACAGAGACAUAAACCGUGGCUGAUGAGGUGUCUGAAGAAUGCUAAUGGUAUCAUGCAGCUGGCAUCUCAUGCUAAAGCAAGAAACAGCAGUGACAGCUUGGUACUGCAAUCAGAAGAAAUCAACCCCCAUGUUGCAGGAAGCGUAGCUGUCGUUUUACUAAAGAGAGAGACUGCUGGACCUCUAGACCGCUUUUUACAGCACCGUGGGAACAAGGGACCCUGAACUGUCACUGCCUUCAUCUUCCUUUCCUCAUGUGCCCUGUGCACAGAAGGUCCUGCCCCAAGCAGCUGAGACAUAAAUGAAAUUUGGGCUGCUUCUCUCCUCCAGCUGCUGUGGCUCAGUGCUCCUGCUGGACAGCUACAGUGUCAGCUAUUGCUGGCACCAGCUGCCUCUGCCCGCAAGAGGAGCCUUGAGAGGGGCUGUAUCGCCAAGCUCAAGCGUUCAAAAGCUGAGGUAACCUUCUUCCUACACCAAAAGGUGGACCCUUACUUUUAUUUGUCUUCUGUUGUUUUUAACUUUCAGCAAACAUGUUUCAAACUCUUCUCCACGACCACUGGAGCUAGAGACAUUUUAUUCUCAGCAGGAGAUGACAUUCCUGCAUCAUCACAUAAUUCCUGCACCUGAGGCUUUAAGGGGAAAAAAAAAAAAACCCACAACACGCUGACUACCGCAAGAGUUGGCAGCAGUGGGGGAAGAGGAAGAGGAGCUGGAGGCGGAAAUAGCCUGCUGCUCUCACCUGCGGGAGAGGAACCUGGGGGCCCUGCUGACAGCCAGCGAUAGGGGGGUCCCUCGCGGAGGGGAAGGAAACGGCAGAGCCGGCGGGGAGAAGAGGUAGCCCAUAGGAAGACAUAAAGAGAAGGAAGCACUUUGGGUUAGCGGGGAAGGUCAUCAGGCUGCCUAUACAGCCCUCAGGCAUCUGUCCGAAUCAGCCCUGCGCUCUUGACCACUGUGUUACCUCACCAGGGAGUGUUUUUUGCACUCCAAAACAAGAGGUGGGGAGCAGCGGCUUUCCUGCUCCUGUUUAUCUGCGUCAGAGGGAUAAAGCCUAAUUUUGUCUACAUCCAACUGGGAAUAGUGCAGAAAAGAAAAUGUGAGGGGGAAAGAAAGGAAACGUGCUAGCAGUGCCACACAACUGGGAGUGAGGGGAAUUUAGGGCUGUACAUGUAUUUUGUGCUCUGCUGUGCUUUUAUCUUUGGAGAACAAAGGUUGAAUUGUUACUCCA
rnacentral:lncRNA from 1 species